AACCGUUGUCCGGAAUAAUGAGGCGUAAAGCGCGCGCAGGCGGUUUCUUAAGUCUGAUGUGAAAGCCCCCGGCUCAACCGGGGAGGGUCAUUGGAAACUGGGGAACUUGAGUGCAGAAGAGGAGAGUGGAAUUCCACGUGUAGCGGUGAAAUGCGUAGAGAUGUGGAGGAACACCAGUGGCGAAGGCGACUCUCUGGUCUGUAACUGACGCUGAGGCGCGAAAACACGGGGAGCGAACAGGAUUAGAUACCCUGGUAGUCCACGCCGUAAACGAUGAGUGCUAAGUGUUAGAGGGUUUCCGCCCUUUAGUGCUGCAGCAAACGCAUUAAGCACUCCGCCUGGGGAGUACGGUCGCAAGACUGAAACUCAAAGGAAUUGACGGGGGCCCGCACAAGCGGUGGAGCAUGUGGUUUAAUUCGAAGCAACGCGAAGAACCUUACCAGGUCUUGACAUCCUCUGACAACCCUAGAGAUAGGGCUUCCCCUUCGGGGGCAGAGUGACAGGUGGUGCAUGGUUGUCGUCAGCUCGUGUCGUGAGAUGUUGGGUUAAGUCCCGCAACGAGCGCAACCCUUGAUCUUAGUUGCCAGCAUUCAGUUGGGCACUCUAAGGUGACUGCCGGUGACAAACCGGAGGAAGGUGGGGAUGACGUCAAAUCAUCAUGCCCCUUAUGACCUGGGCUACACACGUGCUACAAUGGGCAGAACAAAGGGCAGCGAAGCCGCGAGGCUAAGCCAAUCCCACAAAUCUGUUCUCAGUUCGGAUCGCAGUCUGCAACUCGACUGCGUGAAGCUGGAAUCGCUAGUAAUCGCGGAUCACAUGCCCGGGGGGAAAAAACUUUCCCGGGGCCUUGUACACACCGCCCGUCACACCACGAAGAGUUUGUAACACCCGAAGUCGGUGAGGUAACCUUUUGGAGCCAGCCGCCGAAAGUGGGACAGAUGAUUGGGUGAUAAAAAAAAA
rnacentral:rRNA from 1 species